GUUUCGCAAUUCAAGCUUGUUCAUUCAGCCUCCUUGCGCCAAAAUGUUGGGUAGGGAGUUUGGCUGGGGCGGCUUAUUGGUUAAAUG
rnacentral:rRNA from 11 species